rnacentral:rRNA from 1 species
AUGAAAUUCCAUCUGCUUAGCAUUGACCCUCUAGUGUGGAGAGCUGUGGAAACUGGCUUCUCUUGUGCAGAUGAAGCAAACCCAACGGCUCUUGAAAAGAGGAACUGGCAGCACGAUUACCGAGCUAGACGUGCCUUACAGUAUGCCAUAGGUGAUGAUCAAUACAUUCGGAUUUGCCGAUAUCAAUAUAAUAAGAGUGCCAAGGAGAUUUGGGAUGCUCUCCGAAAAUCUAAUGAAGCGGCUGGUAAGUCAAAGCUCUGUUCACUGAGGAUGGAUAUGAACUUCUUCGUCUUAGGGGAAGACGAGUCCCCGAGUGACAUGUAUACAAGGCUCAACAAUUUGGCCAAUGAAAUGAAGGGUCUCGGGUGCAAGGAGAUGACCGAUUCCUAUCUUGUGGAGAAGAUGCUUUUUGCCAUGACGCCAAGGAACCCAACCAUGGUUUUCCUCAUCCAUCAGAAGCAUGACUUUGAACUACUCACCCCUCGGGAGGUGCUUGCAACCUUCCUCCUCUACGGCGGGGAGCAAAAAGAAUCCAAAGUCGUGUGUGGGCAUGCUUUGCCACGCUCAAGCAAAAAGGUCAACGCUGCCUUGAAGGCCAAGCAAGUCCAAAUGGAGGAAAACGACCAUGAUCAAUACCAAGAGCAAAUUCAACAAGGAAUACAAGAAUUGGCUCUCUUAAUGAAGAAAUGUGAAGGGUGUCUUGGAAAGAAAGCCUAUGGAACAGGAAGUGAUUUCUCUGACAAGUCCAAGAUGAAGAAAUCAAAGAGAUAUUGCUAUCAAUGUGGUGAUCCCAAUCAUUUCAUUGCUGAUUGUCCUAAGAAGGAGGGUAGGAAAGAAGAGAAGGAGAAGAGCAAGUACAAGACGAAGCCAUUCGAUCACAAAGGCAAGCCAUACAAGCCAGACGGGCAGAAAGGUGUGGAGGCACAUCCUCGCGUCAACACGGGAGUGGAAAGUGCCGUUCAAAGAUGCAGAGGUGGUGGACUUGGACCGCUUCGGAGGCCGGUUAAUGGAGAACCUGAGAACUCCACUUCGGCUGACGAGGCGCUGAAGAGGGGGCUGGUGCCGAAGCCGACAUGGAAACCCGCCGCCCAGCCGUCACAGCAACCCUUCUGCCUCAGUGCUCACCUGCCUAGAGGAGUGGCCUUCUGCCUCAGUGCGUAUCUGCCCAGAGGAGUGAUGGUAUAUGAUGAUGAUGAUGAUGAUGAUGAUGAAGUUACUGAAUCUUAA